GGAAAGGAUCAAGGUCAUGAAAGAUAAAGACAGACUAAAGAACUGUCACAGAUGGAAAAAGACUAAGCAGUGGUGGACAGACUUUCAUGCAGCCCCCGAUGGGCCCUCCUUCUGAUAUUUAUGCUUUUGUGUCAUCUUUCCUCUUGCAAUGGCUUUGGAAAAGCAAGCUGCUGUGAACCCUACGACAAGGAAACUAAUUCCGAUAAUACUCUGAGAGAGCUUGGAAGAGGAUCCUUCUCCAUUUGAAGCUCCUGAAGGGAACCCAGUCCUGUUAGACAAUUGAUUACAGCCUUGUGAUUCCCUGAGCAGAGGACUUAGCUAUGACUCCAUGAGACUCCUGUGACAAAAUAAAUUUGUGCUGUUUUUAAAUA